rnacentral:rRNA from 1 species
GAUGAACGCUGGCGGCGUGCCUAAUACAUGCAAGUCGAACGCUGAAGGAGGAGCUUGCUCUUCUGGAUGAGUUGCGAACGGGUGAGUAACGCGUAGGUAACCUGCCUGGUAGCGGGGGAUAACUAUUGGAAACGAUAGCUAAUACCGCAUGACAACAGUUAUUGCAUGAUAACUGUUUAAAAGGGGCAACUGCUCCACUACCAGAUGGACCUGCGUUGUAUUAGCUAGUUGGUGAGGUAACGGCUCACCAAGGCGACGAUACAUAGCCGACCUGAGAGGGUGAUCGGCCACACUGGGACUGAGACACGGCCCAGACUCCUACGGGAGGCAGCAGUAGGGAAUCUUCGGCAAUGGACGGAAGUCUGACCGAGCAACGCCGCGUGAGUGAAGAAGGGUGUCGGAUCGUAAAGCUCGGUUGUAAGAGAAGAACGAGUGUGAGAGUGGAAAGUUCACACUGUGACGGUAUCUUACCAGAAAGGGACGGCUAACUACGUG